rnacentral:tRNA from 1 species
GCCGCCGUAGCUCAGUUGGUAGAGCAAGUGCUUCGUAAGCACUGGGUCGCAGGUUCAACUCCUGUCGGCGGCU